rnacentral:lncRNA from 1 species
CAGGGUUCAAAUUCAUCUUUCCCGGAAACGAGAGGUACCGAAAGGUCACCUCCUUCGUUUCCUCUACCCUGCACACAUACAUAGUAACAUAGGUAAUACGAAUUACAAGUAAUUACAUAUGCUUACACACGAACGGAGUCAUAUAUAAGCUUGAAGUGAUUGUAACCCCCCAAGAUACCAAGUCUAGCUCCGCCACUAUGUUUAUAUAUCCACACACAUAUAUAGAGCUUCAGUUGACAGCAUAGUCAACGAGCUUGCUGAGAACUAGUUACCCACUAAUACUAUAAUUAGUGAAGUGUAUAGUUCAAUUUUAGGACAUACUUGACGAGCUUGCUGAGCUCCUUGUCUAUAGAAAUGAAGCCAUCGCGGUUGUCAUCUGCAUAAUUUUUAGCAAACCAAGCUCUUAAAGGAGGAUAUUUCGAGCCAAGUUCUUUGAAGGCUUCUUUCAGCUCCUCUUUGGAAAGUUGAGCAUCUCCAUUCUUGUCAUGACUUUUGAAGACAUUCAUUAUCUGCUCCUCGGUGUAGGGAACGUUGUUCGGGACCUUAUGAUUUGUAUCGAAAACCAUCUUCUUCUAAUUUAUUAACUGCAAAACUAACAAGGAUAAGGA